rnacentral:rRNA from 1 species
CCCAGACUCCUACGGGAGGCAGCAGUGGGGGAUAUUGCACAAUGGGGGGAACCCUGAUGCAGCGACGCCGCGUGGGUGAAGGAGCGUUUCGGCGCGUAAAGCCCUGUCGGCAGGGAAGAAGGAGGACGGUACCUGACUAAGAAGCCCCGGCUAACUACGUGCCAGCAGCCGCGGUAAUACGUAGGGGGCAAGCGUUAUCCGGAUUUACUGGGUGUAAAGGGGGCGCAGACGGCAGCGCAAGCCAGGAGUGAAAGCCCGGGGCCCAACCUCGGGACUGCUCUUGGAACUGGGUGGCUGGAGUGCAGUAGGGGCAGGCGGAAUUCCUGGUGUAGCGGUGAAAUGCGUAGAUAUCAGGAGGAACACCGGUGGCGAAGGCGGCCUGCUGGACUGCGACUGACGUUGAGGCCCGAAAGCGUGGGGAGCAAACAGGAUUAGAUACCCUGGUA